GUACUGUCUUAAAAAGGAAUAGUCAAAAAGCAGGAAACUAUUUGGAUUAUAUCAAGAUUGGGUGUGCUUAAAGUUGUGUAUUUGCAGGAAUCUUUCAGGAGUAAGCUGGUCUUUAGCUUAAGCACAGCAAAGUACUUAACUGCACUCUCAUUUCUAUCCCUGUUCAUGGAAGGACAAAAACACAUAUUCUACAUGACAAGUGUAUCUCUGCAAUUUUGCACAGCUACUUAAAUUUUGUUUUCCUCCCCUUUCCUCCUUGUUUUUACGUGCAAAAUAAUGUCUUAAAAAUUAGUGAAGACUAAUUAAAACUAGUGAACAUUUUAGAUGUUUUUGCUGUUUCUUCCUGAUGCAGAUAACUUCUGCAAGCAUGUCAAGAAUGAAAUAUUAUUUUGUAUUGCAUGCUGCUGUGAAUGGAGGUGGCUACUGUCUAUCUUUGAGAAGCUCCACCAUCAAAAGCUAGAUGUAAAGGACACAACACUCACAGACUUCAUAUCUCAAUGUCUCCAUGACUUUUACAAGAGAGGUGACGUAAAGGCAUGA
rnacentral:lncRNA from 1 species